rnacentral:rRNA from 1 species
UACAGAGGGUGCAAGCGUUGUUCGGAAUUAUUGGGCGUAAAGCGCGUGUAGGCGGCAGAGCAUGUCGGGUGUGAAAGCCCUCGGCUUAACCGAGGAAGUGCGCCCGAAACUGCUCAGCUCGAGUGCUGGAGAGGGUAGCGGAAUUCCCGGUGUAGAGGUGAAAUUCGUAGAUAUCGGGAGGAACACCAGUGGCGAAGGCGGCUACCUGGACGGACACUGACGCUGAGACGCGAAAGCGUGGGGAGCAAAC